UGUACACACAAUGGAGCAAACCAGCGAACUGUUGUUGUCCCUGGAGGGGCCUCAUCCGGAGGUGAGGCCGCUGAUGGCUUGGAUCGGCCGAGAGGUCGGCCCGUGGGCGAGACGGGGUCUUGCUGUCAGCCGGAGUGUCCCGUACUUGCGGUUCCUGUCGCUGGAGGCUUGGACUCCCCCUGAUGGGGGAAGACGAGUUGCUGGCGGCCGGGGUCGGGCACUCCCCUCCCCCUUUGUCCCCGUCUUUGGGGGCUCUGGGGCCGUUUUUCCACGAGCACCUUGAGGAACAUGAACGUAGAGACUGAGCGUGGGGCCGUUGCAGUGCCUUUGCGGGCAGUGUAAUCGGCCGAGUCGAAAGGCAAAACGACUCUCAGCAACGGAUAUCUUGGCUCUUGCAACGAUGAAGAACGCAGCGAAAUGCGAUACCUAGUGUGAAUUGCAGAAUUCCGCGAAUCAUUGAGUCUUUGAACGCAAGUUGCGCCCGAGGCUUGUCCCGAGGGCAUGCCUGCCUGAGCGUCACCGCACUCCCACCUGGAAACAUCUCCAGCGUGGAACUGGCCGUCCGGGACCUGGCGCGAGCCAAGGUUGCGGUCGGCUGAAAUGCAGCGAUCUGGACGUGGCCGGAGAGAGAGGCCGCGAGAAGGUGAUCCGCUCUUGACUGAGCGGAGUCUAAUUGGACAGCGCCUCUCUCUCUUUGGUGGUCCGGUCGGCGAUAGCGAGGGGGGAGUUUCUGACUCUUCCCCGGUGUGAGCGGGGGGAGUGCAAUGCACGUUGCGCUUCCCCUCCCCAGAGCUUGGACCUCAGAUCAGGCAAGAU
rnacentral:rRNA from 1 species